rnacentral:rRNA from 1 species
CAGUCGCCACGGGAAUACGAAGGGUGCAAGCGUUACUCGGAAUUACUGGGCGUAAAGCGUGUGUAGGUGGUUGUUUAAGUCUGUCGUGAAAGCCCUGGGCUCAACCUGGGAAUUGCGAUGGAUACUGGGCGACUAGAGUGCGGUAGAGGAUAGUGGAAUUUCCGGUGUAGCAGUGAAAUGCGUAGAGAUCGGAAGGAACAUCUGUGGCGAAGGCGACUAUCUGGGCCAACACUGACACUGAGACACGAAAGCGUGGGGAGCAAACAGGAUUAGAUACCCCAGUAGUCCCUGUCUCUUAUAC